rnacentral:rRNA from 1 species
AACGAACGCUGGCGGCAGGCUUAACACAUGCAAGUCGAGCGCCCCGCAAGGGGAGCGGCAGACGGGUGAGUAACGCGUGGGAACGUACCUUUUGCUACGGAAUAACUCAGGGAAACUUGUGCUAAUACCGUAUGUGCCCUUCGGGGGAAAGAUUUAUCGGCAAAGGAUCGGCCCGCGUUGGAUUAGCUAGUUGGUGAGGUAAAGGCUCACCAAGGCGACGAUCCAUAGCUGGUCUGAGAGGAUGAUCAGCCACACUGGGACUGAGACACGGCCCAGACUCCUACGGGAGGCAGCAGUGGGGAAUAUUGGACAAUGGGCGCAAGCCUGAUCCAGCCAUGCCGCGUGAGUGAUGAAGGCCCUAGGGUUGUAAAGCUCUUUCACCGGUGAAGAUAAUGACGGUAACCCGGAGAAGAAGC